GUGCUCACUUGGGCAGCAUAUACAAUAAAAUUGGAAUGAUACAGAGAUUAACAUGACCCCUGCACAAGGAUGAUACACAAAUUUGUGAAACAAUCUGUAUUUUC